AACGAACGCUGGCGGCAGGCCUAACACAUGCAAGUCGAGCGCGCCCUUCGGGGUGAGCGGCGGACGGGUGAGUAACGCGUGGGAACGUGCCCUUCUCUGCGGAAUAGCCUCGGGAAACUGAGAGUAAUACCGCAUACGCCCUUUGGGGGAAAGAUUUAUCGGAGAAGGAUCGGCCCGCGUUGGAUUAGGUAGUUGGUGGGGUAAUGGCCCACCAAGCCGACGAUCCAUAGCUGGUUUGAGAGGAUGAUCAGCCACACUGGGACUGAGACACGGCCCAGACUCCUACGGGAGGCAGCAGGGGGGAAUCUUAGACAAGGGGGGCAACCCGGAUCUACCCAGGCCGGGGGGGGGAUGAAGGCCUUGGGGUUGUAAAGCUCUUUCAGCGGGGAAGAUAAUGACGGUACCAGCAAAAGAAGCCCCGGCUAACUCCGG
rnacentral:rRNA from 1 species